rnacentral:lncRNA from 1 species
CGGGCGCCUGUAGUCCCCGCUACUCGGGAGGCUGAGACAGGAGAAUGGCAUGAUCCCAGGAGGUGGAGCUUUCAGUGAGCCGAGUUUGUGCCACUGCCUUCCAGCCUGGGUGACACAGCGAGACUCCAUCUCAAAAUAAAUAAAUGAAUAAAUAAAUAAUAAAUAAACAACAUAUGACUAAGAAUAAAAUAUGUAAAGCUAUAAGUUGGCCCAAACCAUUAUGGCAGCUGGACCAUUAUGGCAGCUAGUGGUGUUCAACUGAGUCCUAAGCCAGCUGUGCAACUGAAUCAUGGACCCAGGAUUUGAUCUCCACUCAUCAUUCUCUGUCUCUGUUUCAUCACACAGAGCAUCUCAAAUUGUUCCAUGUAAAGGGGGAUACAUUUUAAAAUCAUUUUUAAAAAGAAGAAAGAUGUGUCUUUCCAUCUUUGAAAUGUGAGCUUUGAGGACACCUCUCUGAACUUCUGAGAGCUUGGGAAUGUAAACUCACCAUCAAGAUAAUCCACACUGGACAUAACACAUGGGGGAAAGGCUAAGAAUUUGGGCUCUGAGCAGAGGCCGAUCACAAACAACCUCCAGAAAACGGCCUGCCUCAAAGAGGAAUGCAGGAAGUCCACAGAAUGCCGGACAAACCAGUGAGGCAGGUUUGGAAUAAUCUAGUACAUGCCUUUGCACCCUGUAUCCGUUAAGGCAUGUUUGGUUGGAAAUAAAUAAAAACCCAAAUAACCAACGCCGUUUUCCCACAAAGAAAAUCUGCAAGUAUAGGUCUUUUCUGGUGCUGGUUAAGCUGCCCACUGAAGUCACGGAGGAUGAGGCUCACUCUUUCCCUCUUGCUGUCCUUAGUGUGGGGCAUCUUUUCUUUAGGCCAUUAGGAUGUAGACAAGGAACAAGCCAGCCACACACCUCCUGCUAGUCCUGAACACAACCCAUCUCAAUAUUUCCUGCCUUAGGAAAUCGACCUUUUCUUCUCUGAUGAGAACUGACUCCUGUCUCUCUUCUUGAGUCUUU